GACGUAGGGCGCGAGCGUUGUCCGGAUUUAUUGGGCGUAAAGAGCUCGUAGGCGGCUUGUCGCGUCGUCCGUGAAAACCCGAGGCUUAACCUCGGGCCUGCGGUGGAUACGGGCAGACUAGAGGUAGGUAGGGGAGAAUGGAAUUCCCGGUGUAGCGGUGAAAUGCGCAGAUAUCGGGAGGAACACCGGUGGCGAAGGCGGUUCUCUGGGCCUUACCUGACGCUGAGGAGCGAAAGCGUGGGGAGCGAACAGG
rnacentral:rRNA from 1 species